rnacentral:lncRNA from 1 species
CUGAAUAAUUUUAGAAAAUGUCAGGCAAAAUCAGAAAAAUGCAUAAAAAUUCUGACAACCUUUAUUUGAACAGCUCUUUUGCUCCCUGUACUAUGCAGGAAGGGCUUGACAUCUGGCAAACAGACUGACCUUUGAGGCAAGGAUGAAAAUGCAGUGAAAGUCUUUAUGAAAACUUGCAGAAUCCCAAAUUUUCUAAGGUCUCCAGCUUUUUCCCAAGCUUCAAGGUGCAUGGCUCAGAUCUUGCAAUACUCUUGAAGUACAUAUGAAGUUCAAUAAUAAAUUCAUCUCUUUUGUGUAAAUCUCUGAGCUGGACAAAUUGCAAGUGAAGGAAGUAAAAGUCUCCCAGCAAUCGGUUAUGAAAAGGAUGAUGAUUACAGCUGAGAUUCCUCCUCUAUGAGAAAACCAUCCCUUGGCCGACGGCACGGCUGCAUCUUGAAACAUCAAACACGGUGUUUAUGCAAAUCUCAGUGUUCUGCUUGUUCUGCUGCAAAAGCCAUUUUCGCUGUGACACAGAAGGAAAUCCAGUGAGACAAGGAACCAAAAAUCACAAGGCUUGCUUUGAAGCUGGGACUCUCUCACGUGCAUUGAAAUGGGUUUCCAGCAAAGUGCAGGUGCAUGCCAUAUGAGCAGCAGAAACCCUGGGACUG